rnacentral:rRNA from 1 species
UACGAAGGGGGCUAGCGUUGUUCGGAAUUACUGGGCGUAAAGCGCGCGCAGGCGGUCUUCCAAGUCAGUGGUGAAAGCCCGGAGCUCAACUCCGGAACUGCCAUUGAAACUGUUGGACUUGAGUACGAGAGAGGUGAGUGGAAUUCCCAGUGUAGGGGUGAAAUUCGUAGAUAUUGGGAAGAACACCGGUGGCGAAGGCGGCUCACUGGCUCGUAACUGACGCUCAGGCGCGACAGCGUGGGGAUCAAACAGG